UACAGAGGGUGCGAGCGUUAAUCGGAAUUACUGGGCGUAAAGCGCAUGUAGGUGGUUUAGAAAGUUGGGUGUGAAAUCCCCGGGCUUAACCUGGGAACUGCAUUCAAAACUACUAAGCUAGAGUAGAGUAGAGGGAAGUGGAAUUUCCGGUGUAGCGGUGAAAUGCGUAGAUAUCGGAAGGAACACCAGUGGCGAAGGCGGCUUCCUGGACUCAUACUGACACUGAGGUGCGAAAGCGUGGGGAGCAAACAGG
rnacentral:rRNA from 1 species